UACGAAGGGUGCAAGCGUUACUCGGAAUUACUGGGCGUAAAGGGUGCGUAGGUGGUUUGUUAAGUCUGCUGUAAAAGCCCUAGGCUUAACCUAGGAAUGGCAUACGUGACUGGCAAACUAGAAUAUGGCAGAGGGAGGUGGAAUUCCACGUGUAGCAGUGAAAUGCGUAGAGAUGUGGAGGAACACCGAUGGCGAAGGCAGCCUCCUGGGUCAAUAUUGACGCUCAGGCACGAAAGCGUGGGGAGCAAACAGG
rnacentral:rRNA from 1 species